rnacentral:rRNA from 1 species
CACUGUUUCGGCAAGGGGGUCAUCCCGACUUACCAACCCGAUGCAAACUGCGAAUACCGGAGAAUGUUAUCACGGGAGACACACGGCGGGUGCUAACGUCCGUCGUGAAGAGGGAAACAACCCAGACCGCCAGCUAAGGUCCCAAAGUCAUGGUUAAGUGGGAAACGAUGUGGGAAGGCCCAGACAGCCAGGAUGUUGGCUUAGAAGCAGCCAUCAUUUAAAGAAAGCGUAAUAGCUCACUGGUCGAGUCGGCCUGCGCGGAAGAUGUAACGGGGCUAAACCAUGCACCGAAGCUGCGGCAGCGACGCUUAUGCGUUGUUGGGUAGGGGAGCGUUCUGUAAGCCUGUGAAGGUGUGCUGUGAGGCAUGCUGGAGGUAUCAGAAGUGCGAAUGCUGACAUAAGUAACGAUAAAGCGGGUGAAAAGCCCGCUCGCCGGAAGACCAAGGGUUCCUGUCCAACGUUAAUCGGGGCAGGGUGAGUCGACCCCUAAGGCGAGGCCGAAAGGCGUAGUCGAUGGGAAACAGGUUAAUAUUCCUGUACUUGGUGUUACUGCGAAGGGGGGACGGAGAAGGCUAUGUUGGCCGGGCGACGGUUGUCCCGGUUUAAGCGUGUAGGCUGGUUUUCCAGGCAAAUCCGGAAAAUCAAGGCUGAGGCGUGAUGACGAGGCACUACGGUGCUGAAGCAACAAAUGCCCUGCUUCCAGGAAAAGCCUCUAAGCAUCAGGUAACAUCAAAUCGUACCCCAAACCGACACAGGUGGUCAGGUAGAGAAUACCAAGGCGCUUGAGAGAACUCGGGUGAAGGAACUAGGCAAAAUGGUGCCGUAACUUCGGGAGAAGGCACGCUGAUAUGUAGGUGAAGUCCCUCGCGGAUGGAGCUGAAAUCAGUCGAAGAUACCAGCUGGCUGCAACUGUUUAUUAAAAACACAGCACUGUGCAAACACGAAAGUGGACGUAUACGGUGUGACGCCUGCCCGGUGCCGGAAGGUUAAUUGAUGGGGUCAGCGCAAGCGAAGCUCUUGAUCGAAGCCCCGGUAAACGGCGGCCGUAACUAUAACGGUCCUAAGGUAGCGAAAUUCCUUGUCGGGUAAGUUCCGACCUGCACGAAUGGCGUAAUGAUGGCCAGGCUGUCUCCACCCGAGACUCAGUGAAAUUGAACUCGCUGUGAAGAUGCAGUGUACCCGCGGCAAGACGGAAAGACCCCGUGAACCUUUACUAUAGCUUGACACUGAACAUUGAGCCUUGAUG